UGCGGCGUAAAGCAGAGCAGCGGACUCAUAAUCCGUCGGCCGUGGGUUCGAGUCCCCCCGCCCCAC
rnacentral:tRNA from 1 species